rnacentral:rRNA from 1 species
ACGAAAGUCUGACGGAGCAACGCCGCGUGUACGACGAAGGCCUUCGGGUUGUAAAGUACUGUCUUUGGGGACGAACGGUAGAUGUGUGAAUAAUGCAUUUACAUGACGGUACCCGAGGAGGAAGCCCCGGCUAACUACGUGCCAGCAGCCGCGGUAAUACGUAGGGGGCAAGCGUUGUCCGGAAUCAUUGGGCGUAAAGGGCGCGUAGGCGGAUACUUAAGUCUGGUGUGAAAACCUGGGGCUCAACCCCGGGAGUGCAUCGGAAACUGGGUAUCUUGAGGACAGGAGAGGAAAGUGGAAUUCCACGUGUAGCGGUGAAAUGCGUAGAUAUGUGGAGGAACACCAGUGGCGAAGGCGACUUUCUGGACUGUAACUGACGCUGAGGCGCGAAAGCGUGGGGAGCAAACAGGAUUAGAUACCCUGGUAGUCCACGCCGUAAACGAUGAGUGCUAGGUGUAGAGGGUAUCGACCCCCUCUGUGCCGCAGUUAACACACUAAGCACUCCGCCUGGGGAGU